rnacentral:rRNA from 1 species
CCUACGGGAGGCAGCAGUGGGGAAUAUUGCGCAAUGGGCGAAAGCCUGACGCAGCAACGCCGCGUGCGGGACGACGGCCUUCGGGUUGUAAACCGCUUUCAGCAGGGACGAAGUGAAAAUGACGGUACCUGCAGAAGAAGCACCGGCCAACUACGUGCCAGCAGCCGCGGUGAUACGUAGGGUGCGAGCGUUGUCCGGAAUUAUUGGGCGUAAAGAGCUUGUAGGCGGUCUGUCACGUCGUAAGUGAAAACUCAGGGCUCAACCCUGAGCCUGCUUGCGAUACGGGCAGACUAGAGGAAGGUAGGGGAGAACGGAAUUCUUGGUGGAGCGGUGGAAUGCGCAGAUAUCAGGAAGAACACCGGUGGCGAAGGCGGUUCUCUGGACCUUUCCUGACGCUGAGAAGCGAAAGCGUGGGGAGCAAACAGGCUUAGAUACCCUGGUAGUCCACGCCGUAAACGGUGGGUACUAGGUGUGGGGGACAUUCCACGUUCUCCGUGCCGCAGCUAACGCAUUAAGUACCCCGCCUGGGGAGUACGGCCGCAAGGCUAAAACUCAAAUGAAUUGACGG